UACGAAGGGGGCUAGCGUUGCUCGGAAUUACUGGGCGUAAAGCGCACGUAGGCGGUCUUUUAAGUCGGGGGUGAAAUCCUGGAGCUCAACUCCAGAACUGCCUUCGAUACUGGAAGACUCGAGUCCGGGAGAGGUGAGUGGAACUGCGAGUGUAGAGGUGAAAUUCGUAGAUAUUCGCAGGAACACCAGUGGCGAAGGCGGCUCACUGGCCCGGUACUGACGCUGAGGUGCGAAAGCGUGGGGAGCAAACAGG
rnacentral:rRNA from 1 species